rnacentral:lncRNA from 1 species
UCCUAGACUUAUAGAGCCAAUAUCAUGGCUCCUCACAUAGCCUCCCAAGGCUUGAAAGUACUACACUUGAGCCUACAGCAAUAUCAUAGAGUGAAGUUUUUAUUGUCGCAGGAGACUAUCUUGAGCAGGUCUCAGGUCAAGCAGGUCAUAACAUAUGAUGGAGAUGGGAUCGAAUGGCCUGGUUCGACUCUCAUAUUUAUCCAUUCAUAAGUAGCUAGAUAUUUACCUUAAGCUAUGGGGGCG